rnacentral:rRNA from 1 species
AUUGAACGCUGGCGGCAUGCCUUACACAUGCAAGUCGAACGGCAGCACGGGUGCUUGCACCUGGUGGCGAGUGGCGAACGGGUGAGUAAUACAUCGGAACAUGUCCUGUAGUGGGGGAUAGCCCGGCGAAAGCCGGAUUAAUACCGCAUACGAUCUACGGAUGAAAGCGGGGGACCUUCGGGCCUCGCGCUAUAGGGUUGGCCGAUGGCGGAUUAGCUAGUUGGUGGGGUAAAGGCCCACCAAGGCGACGAUCAGUAGCUGGUCUGAGAGGACGACCAGCCACACUGGGACUGAGACACGGCCCAGACUCCUACGGGAGGCAGCAGUGGGGAAUUUUGGACAAUGGGCGAAAGCCUGAUCCAGCAAUGCCGCGUGUGUGAAGAAGGCCUUCGGGUUGUAAAGCACUUUUGUCCGGAAAGAAAUCCUUGGCCCUAAUACGGUCGGGGGAUGACGGUACCGGAAGAAUAAGCACCGGCUAACUACGUG